UAUACUUUCAAUGGAGGGACAUCUCUCAAGUUUGAUUACAAAUACCUUCAUUUGUGUUCUGAGACUGAAGAUGAACAGAAGUCCAAUGGGUUUGGAACAUUAGAGUGAGCAAAUGAUGACAGAAUGUUUUUUUUUUUUUUUUUUUGAACUAUUCCUUUAAAUUAACGCUACCAUUUUAUUACUGUUUGCCAAAGCUUGCUAUACCACUGUCAUAAUUUAUUAAAUCAUUAUAAAAUACAUAUAUAUUUAGUCUAUAUAUAUAUUUAUUGACUAAUAUGCAGCUUACUUUUAACAAUGAGACUGCAAAUGAGUAAGUCUCCUUUUUUGAUAUUUUAGUUUUUAUUUUUGUAAAACAUACAGUGCUCUCGUGGUUUUAAAUAAUGAAAUAGUGGUCUUCAUUUCAACUACAUUUCUCUCGCUUCACCUUUUUGACAAAUGAAAUACUUUUUUGUACCGUGACCCUCCCGUUUGGAAUCAAAUGAAGAGUGUCGUGUACCGAGAUUACCAUGACGCACAAAAAAAAAAAAGAAGUUUUGUCUGCUUACUGUUUAAAAAAAAAAAGAGAGAAAGAUGCUGCUUUUCAGAAGCAUAUACUGUACUCUUUUUCUUUUGAUCUGAACCUUGGACGUUGUUUACUGAGCAUGCAGAAUGUGCGUGUAAAAGUAACCGACUCUCACUGAUGUAGGACCACUGAGCUUGCAAGACCUCUAGAAUCUAGAGACGAGCAUUUCACUUCCAACCUCCAGCAGCGUCUGUGAAUUAUUCCACUCUGCUCAGAGUACAGCGAAGCACACUGAACCCACUGACAACUGUUUCUAUAAUCAUUAAAGCAUCUGCCUCUGAUAGAUUCAACUCAAACGUGUCGUACUGUUGGUGCUGUAUGCCGUCUGUGCUGUAGUAUUAAAUGCCACUUUGAUUUAGUGUUUCAAAUAAAAAUGGCAUUGUCUACAGAAAACAA